rnacentral:rRNA from 1 species
UACGUAGGGGGCAAGCGUUGUCCGGAAUCAUUGGGCGUAAAGCGCGUGUAGGCGGCUCGAUAAGUCUGCUGUGAAAGUUCAGGGCUCAACCCUGAAAUGCCGGUGGAAACUGUCGGGCUAGAGUCCGGAAGAGGCGAGUGGAAUUCCUGGUGUAGUGGUGGAAUGCGUAGAUAUCGGGAGGAACACCAGUGGCGAAGGCGGUUGCCUGGGGCUUUGCUGACGCUGAUGCGCGAAAGCGUGGGGAGCGAUCCGG